GUUUUUUUGAUUAAUAUAUAAGAUUGGGCCUGCCCAUUGAUUUAAUAAAUUAAAAGGCUGCGGUAUUUUGACUGUACUAAGGUAGCAUAAUCAUUUGUCUUUUAAUUGAAGGCUAGAAUGAAUGGUUUGAUGAAAAAUUGACUUUAUUUAAUUAAUUUAUUUGAAUUUAAUUUUUUAUUUAAAAAGAUAAAAUUUUUUUAUAGGACGAGAAGACCCUAUAGAAGUUAACUUAAUGAAUAAGUUUUUAUUUUGGUUAAUAAUAAUAAUUUCUUAAAAUAUUAAGUUUUGUUGGGGUGACAGUGAAAUUAAAAUAACUUUCAUUAAUUUUUUACAUUAAUUUAUGUCUUGAUCCAAAAUUUUUGAUUAUAAGAUUAACUUACCUUAGGGAUAACAGCGUAAUCUUUUCGGAGAGUUCAAAUUGAUGAAAAGGUUUGCGA
rnacentral:rRNA from 1 species